GCCUGGAUGGUGGAAUCGGUAGACACGAGAGACUUAAAAUCUCUUUCCUUCGGGAGUGAGGGUUCGAGUCCCUCUCCGGGCACCA
rnacentral:tRNA from 1 species